AAAGAUUAAGCCAUGCAUGUCUAAGUAUAAGCACUUUAUACUGUGAAACUGCGAAUGGCUCAUUAAAUCAGUUAUAAUUUAUUUGAUAUUACCUUACUACUUGGAUAACCGUGGUAAUUCUAGGGCUAAUACAUGCUUUAAGCCCCGACUUCUGGAAGGGGUGUAUUUAUUAGAUUAAAAACCAAUCGGGGCAACCCGUUUAAUGGUGAAUCAUGAUAACUAUUCGAAUCGCAUAGCUUUGCUGGCGAUGGUUCAAUCAAAUUUCUGCCCUAUCAACUUUCGAUGGUAGUAUAGAGGACUACCAUGGUUA
rnacentral:rRNA from 1 species